CUUGGUCAUUUAGAGGAAGUAAAAGUCGUAACAAGGUUUCCGUAGGUGAACCUGCGGAAGGAUCAUUAUUGAAAAACUUCUCAAGUUUUUAAUAUCCUAUUGUCUACCUACCAUGUUGCUUCCACUGGACGUGUUUUACCUUGUGUAAGACCUUUGGCUUGUGUGAAUAACCCAAGUCAGGGAGUUGCCAGUGGCAAGACCAUCUACCAAAACUUGCUUAAAAUACUACUGUCUGAAUCUUUUGCUUCAAUGAAAUAAAACUUUCAACAACGGAUCUCUAGGCUCUUGCAUCGAUGAAGAACGCAGUGAAAUGCGAUAAGUAAUGUGAAUUGCAGAAUCUCGUGAAUCAUCGAAUCUUUGAACGCACAUUGCGCCCUAUGGUAUUCCGUAGGGCAUGCCUGUCUGAGCGUCAGCUCCCCCCCCCACUCAAGUAUCUUUACUUUUUUGAUUCUUGGACUGAUUUGGAGAGGUGUCUUGUCAUGUAGACGCCCUCCAGAAAUUCAUAGGCAGUAUGGUUUGCACCUGAACCAGACGUAAUAAUAAUAAAAUCGUUUGUUUGGGUAUGAUUGUGCUUGCCUUAACCCACCCAUUUCUUUGUUUGGGUGACCUCAGAUCAGGUAGGGAUACCCGCUGAACUUAAGCAUAUCAAUAAGCGGAGGA
rnacentral:rRNA from 1 species